GCAUGUGACUCAGUGGUAGUAUGUUUGCCUAGCAUGAACAAGGCCUGGGUUUGAUCCCCAGCACUGGA
rnacentral:tRNA from 1 species